rnacentral:lncRNA from 1 species
CCCACCUCACCUUUUGAAUUUUUUUUCUUCUCCCUCACCCGGAGCCACACACAGCGGCCCUUGACCCGUAGCCCCAUCUCCUUCUUCCUCUUGAGACACAAAUCAAAGCCAAACAGCUGCUCAUUUUUUCCCCUUUCCCUGACCCGACAGCAACAUCAGAGUCUCUCAGCUGCUUCAUUCUCCCCUCUCAGCCGUUCCUUUCCAUUUCCAUCAACCCGGAACUUUUCCUCUCAGCUGCAGGAGCAAGGGACGAACCGAACGGAGACCAUAGCAGCCUCCUCUGCAAUCUUCUUCCUUCCCCGGCCAUCGCUGCUGCUUCCCCCUCCACCUAUCUUCCUUCGACGGCGUCUCCUCCAAAAUCACAGACCCGACCCAGCCUUCUCUCCUUCAGCCGACCUCCAGCAGAACGGGUAGAGCUGCUCCCAUCGCCUCAGACCCACCGUCUCCAUCUCCGGCUACCAGCAGUUCUUCCUUCCCCAGCGCAGCAGGCGCCUCCACCAACGGCCACCCGAACACAGCGAAGCAGAUUUAACGGAGAAGAGAGGAGGCAGAGAAACGAAAGGGGCAGAUCUAAAAAGAGGAAACGAAGUAGAUUUCGAAAACAAAGGAAAGAAAAAUUAAAAUCAAUUGCUGGCUGUGUGUUGAGGUUUGCUUUGCAGGGGCGACGAAAGGAUGAGUGGGAGAAGACGAUCUCCCCCUGUUGCUGUGUUUUUUCCUUCGGCGGCGCGUGAACCCACGCGCCGCCAACGUUCAGCAGAAUCAGAAUGCUUCCCAGAAUAGUUUUUUUUAGAUUUUAGGUCUAUUUUUGUAAAUUUUAAAUUAAUUAAGGUAAUCCUUGUAAUUAUUUUGAAUUUGUGUAAAUAUAUGUGUAAAAAAAAAAAAAAAAAAAAAAAGAGAAAUAAUAAUAAAAAAAAGGGUUGUGUGUGUUGGUGUAUUUUUAUUUAUUUAUUCAGUUUUUAUAAUUUGUAUUUUGUAUUUGGGAUGUAAAAGAAAAAGAAAAGAAACAAAAAUAGUGAAAGUGUAUGUGUGAGUUUGUAUUUUGUUUUAUUUAUUUGUAUAUAUUUUUAAGAUAAAAUUGCAAAUAAUUAAAGAAGAAUUUAAUAUUUUGAUCGGAUCACGGUUAAGAAUUAUUAACUUAUACGUAAGUGAUAUUUCUAAUUUCCGAAGAAAAGACAAUUAUUAAAACUUCUUUAACACGUCAAAGCCACGAAGCAGCUUACCUCAGGUAGGGUGCGUUAGGGGUGCUAAUACCUUCCCUAACCACAACCAGUCCCUUACCCGCGAAUCUCUGACAAGACCAGUACAUCCGGUUUCCUAGUAGCCCAAUCAAUUACUAGGUGGCGACUCCAACGAACCAAAUUCAAGCAAACGCAACAACGAGAUUAAAUCGCCAGCCGAUGCCGCGCGCUGAUUUUUUUUUGGGGUGCGACAGAAUGGCGACUCCACUGGGGAAGGUAUUUUUUCGAUUAUUGGACUAAGCUUUGUGUAUUUGAUGUGUUUAAGUUUUUGCAUUUUUAUCUUUUUGUUAAUAUUUAUUUCCAUGCAUUUUAUAGAAUUGUCUCAUGCAUCACCUGUAUUUAUUUUUAAAAGCACACACAAGCUUCUAGGUUAGGUGGGGAACUAGCGAUCUGCCCUAAGACUAUUGGUCAGGGUUCAGAUGCGUGAAACACCCAACUCAUAUCUGAGUGCCUGCUUGGUAAUGGUGGGUAUACGUACCUUAACCAUUCCUUGCAACGCCCCCAAACUGUCUUUACGAAGAACGUCACUGGGCAGAUAUGAGACCCUUUUGAGACCAGAUAGAAAACUUACCCAUGUUCACAUAAUGAAUAGAACCUGUCCUUAGGUUGUAUGUGCUAUCGUUUUUUGCAUAAGGGCAAACCCUUCUUGAAGCAUCUUGAACUCAAGACUUGUGGGUGACACAUUGGCCGUUGCUCCGAAAAUUUUCAUUGUAGAGUUUGGGCAAAAAUCACGAUUCUUGUCCAUCAUACAAGAGUUACGACCAUAUUGUCACCUCUCGAAGGGAGAGUUCAUCAUAUAGAUUACAUGUUCAUACAUUUAUCAUGCAUGAACCGGGUCGAAACGUAGGUCCCUUGUACAAGUUGUGCUGCACGAGAUUGAAGAAAAAUAAUGGAAGUGAACAAAGGAGUCAGAUAUAGGUUCAGUAUCAGAUUAAGGUUGAGAGCAUCAAGAGUGAAGUAGCGGGACUCAGAUCUGCUCGAACAAGUGUUGAGCAUCAAAUGAAAAGAGAAUGUCUGCACAGUUUUCUGUGGGAACACUGCUUGUUCACGUCCAAUUGAAGCUGUACCUUUCCUUUUCAGUCAUGAACAACAGCAACAACGCCUUCAGUCAUCAACUAAUGACAACUCUGAUUCCUGUCCAGUUGCGCUGUUAAGUAUUCAUCGCCUCCACAUCAUCUAAUGGAACCAAACGACUACUAACCUCCUGUUCAUGGUGCAUUAGUCUGCUUUGAAGUUACCCCAAUUAUGAGCUCAAUUCCAGUUCAGCAGCACAAGAUGUUGGUCUAAAAAAAAAAAAAAUGAUCAGACACUGAAUUUCAACGCGGUAGAGCUCUCUCUGUAGAGAUUUAUUUGUGGAUCUGUCAAUGGCAAAUGCAAAAGGGAAUGUAUUAAUUUCAUAUGCUUUGAAACUAUUUCCCACCAGUGGCACCAGCAAAACAUUGUAGUAGGCAGAAGAGUCAGACCUGGUCUGAUAAUAUUAGUAGUUGUCAAACUUCAAUGUGGCAGAGCUCUCUCUACAAAAAUCCAUUUAUGGCUCUGCAAAUUGGGAAUGCAAGAGGGGAUUUACUAAUUGCAUAUGCUACAAAUAUUUCUCUCAUCAGUUUCAGCACGAAGAAACUAUAGCAGGUUGAAGAGCCAGACUUGGCUUGAAAAAUAUGAGCAGACAUCAAACUUCAACGUAGCAGAGCUCUCCCGACAGGAAUCUGUUUGUGGAUCCGCAAGUGUGAAAUCCAAGAAGGAAUACAGUAGUUUCAGAUCAUUUAUGAUUUUUCUCCAACAGUGUCAGUAUUAAAAUGCAAAAGUAGAGAGAAGAUACAUGCCUAGACUGAAAAACAUGAAGAAUACUGAAACUUCAACAGAGCAGGACUUCCUCUAUAGGUGUUUGUUUGCUGCACUGUCAGUGAGAAAUCGAAGACGGGACAAUGGAGUUUUAGAGUCAUCAGGUGCUCUUCCAAUAAAGACAAUGUGUGAUUCCACACGUCGGUAGUGGCGAUACUACAAGUUUCUGGAUGCUGCCAAGAUUACCAAGCUGUUAGAAAGUUUUCUAACAAUCCUCAACCAACCAUAGCAACAUUGGAAGAUUGAAGGAUCUGCCAUGGAUUCUAGAACAAUGAUGAGAGGUGAAUCAGGAGAUGACUUUGACAGUGUGAACCCUUAAUUAUGUGGUAUAGCCAGGUCUCACGGCAUCAUCAAUUGCUCAAAAUAUCUUUGCCAAGAUGGGACAUUGCUCUGCCGUUUAAGUUGUCGACCAGCAUCCAAGAUUCCAGAAUUUUGCUUGACUCCGACAAAUUCCCAUGCAACCACCAAUUUCUUAGUGGUAUAAUCCAGAUAAGAGAUGUGAUGUCAUGGUGGGGUCCUCAACCAUUUCAAGUGAACAGUUUCAAGAAUUGCAAGAAUUGAGUCUGGAAGUUGGUGAGCAAGAGACAGGUGGAGUCGUUGAAGAAGGGUGUCACUGGCUAUAUUGUUCCCCGAACAUCUUCAGAAACAUGUGAUCGAAAAUGCUUGGCAAAACAGAUAUUGCCAGAAAAGCUGAUUCGAGAAGGUGAUGAACAGUCAAUCAUAUUGUUAUGGAAUUCUGCAUUUUGUUUUGGGAUCACAUCUCAUCCUUCAACGAAACAUGCCUUGCUUUUGUCUCUUUGUUGUUUUGAAAUCAACAGAUGUUUAGCAUUUUAUUCUGACAAAAUAUUUUGAUCAAACUACAACAUGCGAUAAAGGUUAAUCAAUCCGGAAGAUUAGAAGUGUUUUGAUUACAGAAAUGACUCUAUGCUUGAAAAUGACAUGAGGUGACCAAACAAUUUUGAACUCAUGCCUCCUGAAACUGAACCACACAUCAUAUAGCUAAGUUUUAACAGUAUGCAUAAUGACAUGUAGUAGAUUCGGUAGUCAUGGACUCGUGAAUCAUGAUUCUUACAAGUCCCAAUCAUUACACUGGAUGAGGUCAAAAUUUAUCGGUUAUAACCGACCUUGCUUGAAAUGAGAAAAGGCCAUCUUUGAUAUGCCUUCACUUUCUAAAGAUUAUAUCCCUUGCAGUCCCAUUUUGAGCCUGGUAAAAUAUUUUCUUUCAAAAAAAAGAAACCCUGACUAGGAUCACACCCCACACUGGGGGCAAAUGAGAGAUAUUUUGGAGACAUUGAUAUAAUUAAUGGAUAAAGGGGAAAGCUUAGAACAAAAGUCCAAUGUUUGAGAAAGGGCUAGCAGAAGAAAAUCCAUAGAUUGAGGGCCAUCCAAGAAAAACUUUGAGGAAGGCUAUGCAAAAAAAAUGGAAAGGAAAGAAAAUGCCUAUCAAUUCUAAGAGAGGCAAGACAGUUUUCAAUUGAGAAAAGACAGCAAAUGCCAAAAGUCAACACUAGAAAAAUCGAUGCUUCAUAUCUUUUGGUGUGUCUUGGAUAGAGCCUCUAAUGUCUUUAAAAAUAUUUAGAUUAGUUAUUCAUCAAAGAAAAAGUUGGAUUUGGAUUAUGACCUAUGUUAAGAGAAUUCUAUUUGAAGAUUAACAAGGUUAUAUGUCACUCUCUACAAUGACACAAUAGAAAGAGAAUCGAUGAAUAGUUAAUGUUGGUCCUAGGUCGUUGAAACCCUCAAACACCUUUUGAGCCUAUGGAAUUCCUUUCUUUCAUAGCCAUGAACCAUAGCCUGCAUUACGUGCUUUUAAAAGCCCUUUUUAAUCAAGCAAGCAAUCUGAACCAAUAAAUGGCGAUCUCAAAACUUGAAGAGUUUUUCUAUAAGAGUCGUGGCUUCAUUGAAUUAGGCUACUGGUUAUUAUGCAUGCUGAUAAAAUAAAAUGUUAAGAAAAGAAACAACCUUUCUUGAUAAAGCCUGAGCAUCUUGUUUUUUUUUAAAUUCAUAAAAAUGCCACCUCAUCAUAGACUAUCAAAUGACAUACCCAAUAUCAAGGAUUCAAAUUGAUACAAAGAACCAUGGAAAAAGCCAUUUUUAAUCCUACAUUGGGUCAAUUUCUGUUUUCAAAAUGCAUGACAAUCAAAGGACUAUAUAUUUCGAAUAACGUGUGUUGGGUCUUUGAUCAAAAAGCUUGAUUUUCAAAAGAUUUUCAAAAGAUUUUCAAAAAGGACAUCUCUGAUUUCAUUUCAACAAACUAGACUUUGAAUAGACAUGAUCUUUGAAAUAUGAAAGUUGAUUCCAGAACAAGGAAGAUUAUCAAACACAAAAGAACAUUGAUUGAGUAUGCAAAAUCAUUGAUAGAAAUGACACUGACAUUGAAGUCCUCGACACUCCUUGAAAAGUUGAGCAACUGGGGGCAAUACAGUAGACCUUGAAAAGAAAAAAACAAGCAGUGCUCAGAUCAGCUAUGAGGCAAUGAUUAAAUGAUGAAUCAGUGAACUGAAGACAAUGAUGUUCAAAGAAAGAUAAUCAAUGAACGAGCACAUUCAGAUCAUGCCGGGGGCAUUGUCAUUCCAAAAUGGCCCAUGCUCUAGUGAACCCUGUCGGCAACGGAGAAACAAAGAUGUACUCGAAGGACACUUUCAUAUCAUCAUCUUUUGAAACAUGGCUAGCAAUCGAUGAAGAUACACAGAUGAAUGUAAUUGAAUGGUGAAAAGAUGCACACCACCAAGACUGACUGUGGAACAAUGCUGCACUUAAAGGACAAUCUCAUAUUGUCAUUCUUUGAAACAUGGUUAUAGAUAGAUGUUAUCACACAACUGCACUGAAUGAAUGUCGGAAAGGAACCCACCUUGAAGACUGAUUGUGGGACAACUUGUUCUGAAGCCAGAUGAGCGAUUCACCGCAUGAGUAUGAGUGAUAAAAGCAGCAUCAUUGAUGAGGCUGAGACAUUUCUUUUCACAAUCUGAUUAGAAGAGUUGAAAGGAAUCUAUGAGAAGAGCACUGAGCAUACAACCAUGAGCCUUUGUACUGCAAGCUAUGAGAUGCAUGUCUAGAUGACUGAUUGAGUUUCAAGGAGGUUGAUGAUAACAUGUACUUGAAGAGUACUGUUUCAACUAGAGGCAAGUUCAUGACUGAUUAACAAUCUUGAUGGGUAUUGGCAUUAUGCACACAAUCAAUCAGAGGAUAAUUCUUAGAAGAAGCCAGGAGAGAAAAUCCUUCAUGAUGAAUCAAGCAGUACCACACUUGGGGGCAGGGUCAAGCUUGAUGAACGAUGCAAGCAGUAAUUGUCGAAGACAGCCCGGGAUGGGCACUGCAUUUACAGUUGAGUGGAUGGCUAGCACAUGAAUGAGCUAAUGCAUCGGAAGAACAAAGAAAGCUUUGGGAUACAAACAAGGGCACCCUAUGACGAUGGAGCAUCAAAGAGGGGGGACCUAUUAUUUCAAAUCAGGUAAGGAUGCAUGCAUAUCAUCUAACCUCAAAAAAAAAAAAAAAAAACCAUUUGCACAUAUUUUUGAAUUGUUACAGGAAAAUCCUUAAUGAGGUCUAUCAAGAUGGUGGAAAGAGAAAGAAGCAUUGUGGUGAUGAUAAUAAAGAAUCGGUUUUGAUCAUGGAAUAAAAGGACGAUGGGAUGAACCCUACCAUUAGGAAAAUCCCAAAGAAAUGAAUAGAUCAACCUUGCAACCGGGAAGCCUCGAGUUUUCAACCCUUGCAGUCAGGAAACACCGAGUUUUCAAACCCCAUGAUCGGGAAUUAUCAGGAAGCACCAAGUUUUCCAGCCUUUUCUUCUGUCAUCCCCUCGGGACUUCGCCAGGUAAGUCCUAUUUUUCACACUUGUCAUAUCACAUUUUUUCCAUCUGGGUAGGUCGCCCAUCAUAAUAAGACCGUUCAUCAUAUUUUUUCCAUCUGGGUAGGUCACCCAUUACAAUGAGACCACAUUUUACAUUUUUUCCAUCUGGGUAGGUCACCCAUUACAAUGAGACCACACUUCACAUUCUUUCUAUUUGGGUAGGUCGCCCAUCACAACGAGACCACUUCGUCAUAUUUUUUCCAUCUAGGUAGGUCACCCAUUACAAUGAGACCGCACUUCAUAUUUUUUCCACAUGGGUAGGUCACCCAUUACAAUGAGAUCGCACUUCACAUUUUUUCCAUCUGGGUUCGUCACCCAUACAAUGAGACCAUCAUAUUUCUGGGGGUUCGUCACCCAUACAAUGAGACCAUCAUUUUUCUGGGGUUCGUCACCCGUACAAUGAGACCAUCAUAUUUCUGGGGUUCGUCACCCGUACAAUGAGACCAUCAUAUUUCUGGGGUUCGUCACCCAUACAAUGAGACCAUCAUUUUUCUGGGGUUCGUCACCCAUACAAUGAGACCAUCAUAUUUCUAGGGUUCGUCACCCGUACAAUGAGACCAGCACUAGGGUUCGUCACCCGUACAAUGAGACCAGCACUAGGGUUCGUCACCCGUACAAUGAGACCACCAGCACUAGGGUUCGUCACCCGUACAAUGAGACCAGCAUUUUUCGAGGGUUCGUCACCCGUACAAUGAGACCAGCAUUUUUCGAGGGUUAGUCACCCGUACAAUGAGACCAGAAUGAGGUCGCCAGAUCGGAUCUCAUGUAGCUUUGGUUAAAGGGAAUCGCCAGAUGGGAUUUCAGGUUAACCGAGUUACACAUAUUUCGUUCCAGUUGAAUGAGGUCGCCAGAUGGGAUCUCAUGUAACUUUGGUUAAAGGGAAUCGCCAUAUGGGAUUUCAGGUUAACCGAGUUACACAUAUUUUCGUUCCAGUUGAAUGAGGUCGCCAGAUGGGAUCUCAGGUAAACCCAAUGUGUGGGCAGGUCGCCCGUGAAAAUAGACUAUUGGGAGAGUGUGGGUCGGUCGCCCGUGAAAAUAGACUUGAGUGAGUAUGUGUGGGCAGGUCGCCCGUGAAAAUAGACUUGAGUGAGUACGUGUGGGUAGGUCGCCCGUGAAAAUAGACCAGAGUGAGUAUGCGUGGGCAGGUCGCCCGUGAAAACAGAUCAGUGUGAGUGUGUGGGCAGGUCGCCCAAGAUAAUGAAAUCAUUUUCCUUUUGUUUUCUUUACAAAGCUUACUAUGCAAAAUUUUGAAGAGUUUUGCUUCGUAAGCAUUAUAAAGGGGGCAUCUGUUGCUACCCAAUUUUUGACCCAUGUUUUGAUAUAUUUUCAAAAAAAUCCAAAAAUAGAGAAAAACAAUGAAAAUCCAAAAAAAUAUGUUUUUAAUAUAUUUUCGUCAUUUUAGCAUUUUCAACGUAGUUUAAAAAGAAUUUAAAUUGUUAAAAUAUUUUCAAACGCGUUCGACUUUUCGCGCGUCAUUUUUAAAAUCAUUGAUUUUCCGCAUUUUGAGUCGACGUUGAUAUUGCUCGUUUUCAAAAAAUACAAAAAAAUAAGAAAAAUCAAAAUUUACAAAAAGAAAGAAGUUGAGGGACCAAGUCGAAAAACCUAGCAAUAUUUUUGCCUAUAAAUACCAUGCUAAACUGAUUUUUAAAAGGGGGGGGCAAUUUUGAGAUUGGGGGAGAGACAACACAAGAACAAAAAACCCUAAACCUAAUUUUUUUUUCCCCUUGCAGCCGCUGAACCAAGCCAGCCCCCACCUCACCUUUUGAAUUUUUUUUCUUCUCCCUCACCCGGAGCCACACACAGCGGCCCUUGACCCGUAGCCCCAUCUCCUUCUUCCUCUUGAGACACAAAUCAAAGCCAAACAGCCCCUCCCCCAAACAACCGCUCAUUUUUUUCCCCUUUCCCUGACCCGACAGCAACAUCAGAGUCUCUCAGCUGCUUCAUUCUCCCCUCUCAGCCGUUCCUUUCCAUUUCCAUCAACCCGGAACUUUUCCUCUCAGCUGCAGGAGCAAGGGACGAACCGAACGGAGACCAUAGCAGCCUCCUCUGCAAUCUUCUUCCUUCCCCGGCCAUCGCUGCUGCUUCCCCCUCCACCGAUCUUCCUUCGACGGCGUCUCCUCCAAAAUCACAGACCCGACCCAGCCUUCUCUCCUUCAGCCGACCUCCAGCAGAACGGGUAGAGCUGCUCCCAUCGCCUCAGACCCACCGUCUCCAUCUCCGGCUAACAGCAGUUCUUCCUUCCCCAGCGCAGCAGGCGCCUCCACCAACGGCCACCCGAACACAGCGAAGCAGAUCUAACGGAGAAGAGAGGAGGCAGAGAAACGAAAGGGGCAGAUCUAAAAAGAGGAAACGAAGCAGAUUUCGAAAACAAAGGAAACAAAAAUUAAAAUCAAUUGCUGGCUGUGUGUUGAGGUUUGCUUUGCAGGGGCGACGAAAGGAUGAGUGGGAGAAGACGAUCUCCCCCUGUCGCUGUGUUUUUUCCUUCGGCGGCGCGUGAACCCACGCGCCGCCAACGUUCAGCAGAAUCAGAAUGCUUCCCAGAAUAGUUUUUUUUAGAUUUUUAGGUCUAUUUUUGUAAAUUUUAAAUUAAUUAAGGUAAUCCUUGUAAUUAUUUUGAAUUU